GAAUUCAACUCCUACGGGAGGCAGCAGUGGGGAAUAUUGCACAAUGGGCGCAAGCCUGAUGCAGCGACGCCGCGUGGGGGAUGACGGCCUUCGGGUUGUAAACUCCUUUCGCUAGGGACGAAGCUUUUUGUGACGGUACCUAGAUAAGAAGCACCGGCUAACUACGUGCCAGCAGCCGCGGUAAUACGUAGGGUGCGAGCGUUGUCCGGAAUUACUGGGCGUAAAGGGCUCGUAGGUGGUUGAUCGCGUCGGAAGUGUAAUCUUGGGGCUUAACCCUGAGCGUGCUUUCGAUACGGGUUGACUUGAGGAAGGUAGGGGAGAAUGGAAUUCCUGGUGGAGCGGUGGAAUGCGCAGAUAUCAGGAGGAACACCAGUGGCGAAGGCGGUUCUCUGGGCCUUUCCUGACGCUGAGGAGCGAAAGCGUGGGGAGCGAACAGGAUUAGAAACCCGUGUAGUCCAGGCGUU
rnacentral:rRNA from 1 species